ACCGACUGCUGGUGAAGCCAAAUAGAAGAAUUGCUUUUGUGAUGUCAGAGCCGAUCUGAAAAAUUUAUAUAAAUAUUUGACUGGUGAUGGAGUCCGACAAUAUAUCUUGUAUCUGUGCAGUUGCCAUUUGUUAUUCACCUAAUAAUAUGCUUUACCAGAUUUCCCCCAGGGAUUGCUCAAGGAAAAAGAUUUGGGAAAGAGUUUGUCAUCGAAGGUGUCGCGUUGGAAAGACACCCAGAAUUGUGCAAAUCAUUUUGAGGGAAGUAGUAAGAAGCUAAAAUAUAAUUCCUAUUUUCUAAAGGUGAUGAAAGGAUGGCUUGAAAAAUAUUUACUGAGGUUUAAAGUAAACUCAUAGUUAGCGGGAAAAAUUUGGUAGAUUGAAUAAAGAGGAUAUUAUUCAGGGACGAGUACUCAAGUCUCUCUCCCCAAACGGUUACACAUACAUUCAGUCAAGUGGCCUUCUUCCGGCUCCUUGUUUAUCAACUAGAAAAAGGUGGAUUCGAAAUUUUAAAACUAUCUAUCAUUCUCGAAAUUGUGUCUCAACAAUUUAAAUCAAAACUAAAAUCCUAGUAGUAUUAAAUCUUUCAUCCAUUUUAUUUGAAAAUAAUUGUUAUAAUUUAUUGUUCGUUAAUGACAUCUUGCCUUGAAAUGUUUAAAUUAAAUAUGAUGUGACUUGCAAGGAUCAUCAUUACAAUCCCUUUGACAUAUCACUGACUUUUUAGUCAUCCUAUUGUGAGACAGAUUUACACCAAAGUCUAUCGUAGUCCUAAGAUCUCAGAGGCCAUUGUAUAAAUUUGAUAACGCUACAGAUACUUUUAAAAGUAUUCCUAAAGUUAAUUUAUAUAAUAAUGUAUGGUCCUGCUUGGAGCUAUGUCCAGCUUAUAUAUCCAUCAUUAUGUCAACGGAUAAGAAGUUCCAUUUUAGGACUCUCGGAAUACAUAGUGCAUCAGUAUGAUACAAUCCUCAACUCGCAGAUAGUCUGGUGUGAAAUCCUAAGAUCUUCUGCUUGGGCACUCAUGGACUUGAGAAGAUUGACCUGGGCUAUUUUCUUUAAUUCCUUCGCGUCCAGUUUGGAAUUUUUGACAGAUUCCUUCUUCUUAUCCAACCUUUCGGAUUUAUUGACGGCGUAGAUGUUGGUCUUAGAGACGCCCCACUGCUUGGAAUGCGCGAAUAGAAAUUCGUCGAUCACGUUUAAUUGUCAUUUUCUCGACUUGUAUCUAACCUAGAGAGCUUUUUUUUUUGUAACUAAUUACUUAUGCUUUGAUAUAUCAAAAUAUGAAUUAAUUUCUUCACUCUA
rnacentral:lncRNA from 1 species